rnacentral:lncRNA from 1 species
CAGCGGCAACAUCGAAUGUUGCAGGCCGCGUUUUCGGUGAUGAGCCGGCAGGCCGAGCUUUUCAAUUCCGAAUUGCGCCUUCCUGUUGUUAACAAGAUCCACACUCUUCUCGAAAGAACCUCCCGGAGAAUGCUCAUCCAGGGUCAGCCCACGCCAGCUCCCGGGCCUUCCGGGUGCUGCCACGAUAAUUGAAGAGGCGGACAGCCACGUGGCUGACACGUCACGCUGGGCAGGCUCUUUUCAUCUAAAUCCUCCACCUUCCCCACCUCCGCUCCCUCCCAUUACAGUCACACAUCAAUUUACAGCUUGCGUCCAGGAGGCGGUUGUCUCACCAGGUGAAGGGAAAUGAUAAAGGCAACUUUCCAUUUUUCCUUGACUUGAGAGCUGCGUGGAAUUCCCAGAAGUUCCAGUCCAGCAAGUAAAGUCUCCACAAGACUUUCAGGGAUGUCUUGUACAGCUGCGAACAAUCAGCCGUGGUGGUGGCUUGCCCUUGUUCUGGCGAGAAGAUCUGCAAAGAGGAGCGGCUGCAGUGAGUCUUGAAGAUUCGCAGGUCGUUCGGAUUGGGCAUUGGGCAGCAAUGGCAAAGGCAGAUUUUCUCCCACUUGACGUGAUGGAGUCUCAUUGGAAUGCACGUCUGGUGAGAUGAUCAGCGCCUUGGAGACAGGAUUGUAGACCUUGUAAGCCUUGUGUUCAAUGCCAUAGCCUAGGAAAAUGCCUCGUUCGCUUGUUGGAGAGUUAUAGAGGGGAUAUGGACGCCAUGGAAGGUGCGCUAAUCCAUUCGAAUUCCACUUUGUGCAAGAACCCUUGACAAUCCUGGACCUCAACAUUGGCAAGCACUUAAACGCGUCUUUUGGUACUUCCGAGAUACGUUUUCUUACGGUCUUAAGGCCACGAGUCAAGCUUACUGGGCUGGCUUUGGCUAAAUUGUUUAGCCUUCACAAUGCAGUUAGCAGCAAGAAGAAGAGCGUCGUUGCCUGCUCCAGCUGUGAGGCGGAGGCUAGUUCCGCAUGCAAAGAGGCCAUCUGGCGUCGCCGCCUCCUCAACGACACCCCGCCCAACACCAAUCUACUGUGAGAAUCAAGGCUACGUCGCCUCGAGCAAACAUCACAAGAUUAAUUCCCGGACGAAACACGCACCACGCUGGGAGACACGUCCAGUUCUUUCCAUGUUCUUGUGAUUCCAAUCUCGAUAAUGCAAUCUUAAUUGAACAUCACAACAGCCUGGAAAUCGAGUCCACUGCUUCAUCCCACCAAACAAUCUGAUCUCGUGCACAGCAUGAAACGAACUCUCCUGAUAGAGCCAUACAGAACCUUCUCAUGUCCAGCCACUUGAUUAUUCUAUGCAGCACACUCAAAUACGUCCAGGUAAAUCUCGAAAUCCUCUCAAAGUAGGCUAAAGGAGAUACUUUCUCAUCUUGCCAAAAGCCCCUUCUAACAGGGUUAGAGAGGGCUUGGGUGAGUUGGCAAGGUGUAGUUUUGGUCUUUCCCUUGAAAGAUCAUGGACCUCACUUCACUACAGUGUCACCUUUAGCCCAUUACAAUGCUGCAUAAAGGGAUCACUGCGUUUGCUCAUUGUGGCGAGGGCGAGAAAGUCCUCGAUGGGAGCGUGGAAGGUGACACUCCGGCCUGCGCCUACAUCAGCUCCGUGAAUCGCAACAAGGAUUUCUUUCUUCUCGUGACAGGGGAUUUUAGGAUCGCGCCAGGCAGGGUCUGCAUGAUCGAUAUGUUCGGCUGGAGAAUGCCGAGGAAUUGCUGCGUGCCAUGCCGUUUGUGACGGAUGCUCUGGUUUGUAGGGUUUUGGUGGCAUCUUGCCGAUCGCAUUACGAUAUAUAUCGGGCAUUGGAUGGCAAAUCGCUCCAGGAGCGUGUUUAAAAUGGAAAUUGGCGGGAAAGCGAUGUGUUUGUUUUUUAUUCUAUCUAGCUGUGCUUACGAAAGUUUCCGAAAGGUAAGAGCUUUGGAAAAAUAAUUUAUUUAUAUAUGUAACUUAGUCAAGUCAGCCUCGCAACCUUUGGAGAAACUUUCAAGUCAUGCCGAUGAGCUCUCUCAACUUCUGGAUGAGACCACGGUCGUCAAUUUGGAACGCUUUCGCGAUCACGUCGUCGUUGAUUGGAGGAUUGGAAUCAAACACCGCCUUGGCCACCUGAGUCGCCCCGGGGUUUUGGCUGUUGAAGCCAGCCAUCGCAACCGCAGGCUCCUUUCCAACGUUGAGCUGGAAGUGGACGAGUCCCCUAGGGAAGACGAACAGAUCUCCAGGAUAGAGCAUUUGGGCGAAGAGCUUGUUGUCCGGCAAUGUGGUGACGAAUCCGACUAAGAGGUUCCCGUGCACGAGGAAGAGCAGCUCGGAUCCUCGGGGAUGGACGUGGGGGGGAUUGGUGCCGCCGGGAGCAUAGUCGAUGCGGGCAAAAGCUACACCAAAGGUGUUGAGACCGGGGAAAUUGUUGACACUCGCCAGCGUGACGUUGGAGCCGAGCUUGUUGUCGGUGUUCCCGGGAGUCGCCAGCAGGCUCGACUUGAAGUCCUCGGCUUUCACAUCGGCAGCCGCCUUGCAGACGACGCCAUUCACUUUGAUCUUGGAGCCAUUGUCUGCAACGCAAAAGUCCUGCAGCAUAUCUUCAUCCGCGGCAUGCACAAACAAGAUGGAGCUGAUUGCUAGGAGGAAGGAUAGAACAAAACGAAGAUGAGCCAUCUUGCGAGCUUGGAAAAGACUGAUGGAGCUAUAUGAGGGAGGGGCAGGCAUUUUAUAGCCGGAGGAGGGGAGGCGAGGUCCUUUGGAUGACUUCGUCGUGAAUCGUGCACGAUUUUAGGUACACGGUCUUCUGUUCCCUUCUAUUUCAUUUUUUACUCUUGCUGUCCGCGUAACACAAUCUGAUUUGUUUGCUGCCAAGUCGUCUCGGAAGUUUUCUUUUACCGGGCUUGUCUAGAGCCGUCAAAAUCAUCUUUUAUGUGUGUAGAUGAUGACGACUGAUGGUAAGAACCGGUCUCAGUGAAACUCGAGUUUUACACGGUCUUAAAAACUUGACACUAAAUUGCUUUAUUCUUCUACCAGAGACUUUUUAUGUGUGGAGUUUUAACGGAAUUAUUAUGGAUUGUGUAGGUCCAUUGCUGAUACAAAUAAACUAUGGGUAUAUCGACCAAAGGUACGUCUAUGUAGGUUAUCAAUUUUGCAGACAACUGUGUAGAAGGAUAGUUGCUCACAUAGUCAUGAGACAUACAUAGUCAUAGUCAUUGUGAUUAUUGCUUGCAUCAUUGUCAUGGGCAAAAUAGAAUGUUUAUUGCUGCUACUUUAUUAAUCACUUUAAUACAAUAAACUUAUGAUAUUAAAAAGUUUAAUAAUUUGUCCCACCAUUGCAAUCUAGGAAAGCAUCCAGUUGGGGUGGUGGGAGCGAACUAAGAAAACACUCCUGUGCUGCUGUGUGAGCAUGUCAAUCAGUCAGCUGACCUCAGUAUCAGUGGUCGUGGGCAGUGCAUUCUAAAGCUCUUGGACUUGUUGGGCAAAGUCGGGCACCCAUGCUGGCAUGACUUAGUCGUGGCCACAGUGAGUUCUGGUUGUUGAUAGGAGUGUUGUAAGCAGCAUACGCAUCCUAGUCAGACAUGAGGCGGUCAAGAACUCUUGGAAUUCCCCGCCAUACCAUUUUGUCAAGGAAAAAUCUAAACAGUACACCACAUUAUUAAAGAAUAGUUUGGCUGACCAAAAUGUAAUCGUUUGUACUACUCCUGUUCCAUCUAUGGUGCCCAAUUGUGUAGUGCUGUUAACAAUGUAGAGUUGGGAGGCACCAUUAGUCAUGUGGAUGUCCUCCGCUGCUGCCUGGUUCCAGGAGCCCUUCUGCUGUUGUUAGUUGAGCCUGCAAAGUCCAUUGCAAUAUUAAAAACGUUUAAUUGCCCAGCCAGUCUCACUGGUUUGAUCGGUCAGUGUAUAGUUUUAUCUUAAGAGUAACAUUCCACGAACUAGAGAGUAGAAUUUAGCUGCUCAACCAAAGUCCCACCCAUAUCCAUAACCCAUGCCUUGUCCACCAGUGGAAUCAACUCUCUGCGAGGAAAGAAAAUAAGAUCCAAGCACUAAUCACGCAAGUUUACCGCAGAUCAUGGCUCAUAACGAGCAACGUCCUCUCCUUCUUUAAGCACGCGAGGUAAGAAUGUAGCUUGGAAUUUUUGGUGAGGUGUUGCUGAUCUCUCUAUCUCUUGAAGCGCCCGAAGAGACAACGCAUGUUACUUUCGAUGAAUCGGCUGUUUCCCUCCCACAACCGGCCAAGACACACAACUCGGCUUGCAAAAAUGGCGAAGAGGUUUGCAAUUUUUUUUUUCCUUCUCUAUAUACUGAAGUCUCAAGCUUGCAAGGGUGCCAGAAUGCUGAAACGGAUUCUACCAGCCAGUGAGCAUGUUUACGUUUUGCGUGGCUACUGGUGAAAUUCAUGGUGUUCUUGCUUUUAAGGUUGCUUUGACUCAACUAUGCUGCCGCGAUGCGUCCCCAUCCUGAGAAGGUGCAAAGCUUACUUGCUAAUUUUUGUAGAUCUUCUAAGCUUUGCUGUUUACAGGCUCAAAGAGGGGGUGAAGAUGCCUUCGUCACAGAAGGCUCCUGGAUGGGUGUUGCUGAUGGUGUUGGGGGCUGGGCCGGAGAAGGUAAGACAAAUCUUUCUUUGAGUCUGUUUCUUCAAAAGAGUUUUUACUGGUUUUCAGGCAUUGAUUCGGGGAUGUAUUCUCGGGAGCUUAUGGGACACUGUGGCAUUGGUUGUAAACAGCAAAGGGAAACCGGACCCCAAGGACGUCAGUACAAAGGCCCAGGGAUCAGCAACGGUCCUUGUGGCUGCAUUGUUUGAGCAAGUAAGCUAGUCGGAUUUGAUGUUUGAGGCUGAGUCGGGUCAUAUAUUUCAGACAUGUACGCAGCAAACUUGGGAGACUUGGGUUCAUCAUAGUUCAAGCUCGGAGCCCAUGCAGCAUAGUUUUAACUUUCCGUUUCAAGUUGGAACAUUUGGUGACCAUCCGACGGUUGCAGAGGUACUCUUGCUUUUCCCUUAACUUCGCUAAUUUUCCGUCUACAGGAAUUCAAGAUCCCUGUCUGCAAGGGGGACAUCAUUGUUUUGGGAACUGAUGGCCUUUUUGACAAUCUCUUCAACAACGACAUAGUCGAAGUUCUUAAAAAAUCUGACCAAGUCAACUUGAAGGUGAACUCUCGCUGUUGAAGAAUCUCAAGAUUGCUAAUAUUCUCUUCACUUUACAGGCAUGUAGCUGGGGCGUAGGCCGAGCGUUUGGAUAGCCCGUUUGCUAGGGGGGCUGCAAAGGCGAGAAUGAAUUGGAGCGGUGGAAAGCUGUUGUGGCGUUUGUGACGUGAUAUUUGAGUCGCGAAGGGUAAACUUUUCAAGCAGUUUUUGCGGAGGCCAGUGUAAAUUGCUCAGGCCGCGGUAUUUCCGGUUCUUACGCUAAUUGAGGUAUGACACCCUUUUGAUUUUAUUCUUCGUGUCUUUGGUGUCUAGCCUUCAUUAGAAACUGGUUUAAAUCGCAGGUAAAUCUUCCUUUAAGAAAUCAAGGUUUUAUUCCAUCAGAAGGUUCACAGCCUGGAAGUUCUAGCCUCACUGGAGAUUGAACUCCGGACAGGACAGGUAUCUCUUCUGUUUAGAGGGAACUGCUCAGGGUGUUAGACAUGUCAGGGAAUCAGUUCAGCUGGACGAUCACGAGCCGGCAACAUGAUCUCUGGCUCGUCCUUCUCGGGGGUACAUGGAGCUGCUAGGCCUUUGGCGCGAUGGGAUCUUUCGCGACUGCGUGGCUCUCCAGGAGCUCUUCAACAGUCUCACUCCCCCGUCCAGCAGCAAACUCCGGAAUGUCAUUCUCGGUUCUACAUCUCUCAGCCAUCCAAAUGGGUGUGCGGGCUUAGAAGUGCUCGAACAACGUUUCGGAGGAGCUCGUGUGGGCCCUAUCAUGUCUCUCAGCUUGGGCAGACUCUUUGAGUUUGCUUGGAUCUCUCAGAGAACCAGUUGAAGGGGAUGGUUCUGAAGGACUAAGUGGUGGAAACCCUGCUACGGUCGAAUAGCAACAAAGAGCUCACAGAGAACAGCUUGAAGGACAGCUCCAGGCGAGCUCAUGUGGAGGAUCCUUGGAUACCACUUUCGUCCAGUACCGUGAGACUCCACCAGAAAGAUGGUGAGGAAGGUGGCGACAAGCCAAUUGGCUGGAGCUGUGACUUCCUUCUUUGUCUCGAGUAUUUGGUCGCGUGUCCCGUCCACAUGGUGAGCCACGGAAUUGUUUCUUAGUUGCUCAAAUCUUAAUUCUUUCUGAUCUCCAGGUUGGUAAUCACCAUUACCAAAUAAGAGGAAUUUUUUGCAUUGAGGCUUUGCAGUUCGGUAGGCGACGAAGAAAAACUUUCCAGGAUCGGAGGAUGAAAAGUUACAGCCCAAGCUUGCUGUUCUUCGUGCUCCUCUUCUCCGCUGCGGCACUGAUACUCGUAUGGAUUCUCGACAUAAAUUCCGACUCCGCAAUGAUGUCCCGGAGCCGAACUCUGGGAUCAAACUUCCGCAUCAGCAACAACACCACAAGCUACAAGGGCAGCGACACUUGCAGGAGUAGGAACGAGUACGACUUCUACAGCCGCCGAAGAUCAGCGAGCUUCGAGCCAUCCGAGUCGGUCCAACGGAAAAUCAUAGAGUACGAGGCUUUGCACGGGAGGUGCGCUCCGGGCCCGAGCAGUGCGCGAACUGUAGUACAUGCGGCUACCUCGUCUACGUUCCCGCCAACCAGGGGAUCGGCAACAAGAUGGUGGCUAUAGUAGCAGCGUUUCUCUACGCGCUGCUCACCGACAGGACGAUGCUGAUCGCGAGGUUGGAGAACCUGGACACGCUCUUCUGCGAGCCGUUUCCAUCCAGCUCCUGGCUGCUGCCGUCGAGCUGGAAGCACCUCGAGUUGGCGCCGUGGGACGCCUCCAAGUGGAUUGGGAGCCUGGCGGGUUCGCCCAACUGCAGCCGCGGCGUCGACGUGAGCUUCCCCGAGGUGGUGGUGGCCUAUCUCGAUUACAACUACAGGGACCAGGACAAGGCCUUCUUCUGCCAAGAUCAACAGCAAGCUCUCAACUCCAGCGCGCGGUGGAUCGUCCUCUCCUCCGGCCAGUACUUCACUCCGGCGCUCUACAACGUCCCGACUUUCAGGAGCAAACUCGAGGAAUUGUUCCCACAGCAGGAGGCCAUCUUCCAUCUCCUGGUGAGGUACCUGUUGCUUCCCAGUGACUUCGUGUGGGACAAGGCGGCCAGGUACUACGACGCAUACCUCGAAACCACAUCUGGUUCUCGCCACCCAACCUCGCCGAGGAUACGUUCGACUGCCUGGUGCAACAAGGCGCGCUCGCAAACACCACCCAGGAGCGAGCUCCCAGAUCGUCGGUGCGAGCUCCCAGAUCGUCGGUGCGAGCUCCCAGAUCGUCGGUGAGGAAGAACAGCAAGAAGGUGGCGGUGCUGGUGGUGUCGCUCAACUCGCAGUACUCGGAGACGCUCAAGAGCAAGGUGCUGGGAUACGAUCUAGCGGACGGUUCCUCGGUGUCCAUCCACCAGCCGAGCGUGGAGGGGGUGCAAAACACAGGGAACUUGGAUCACGACGCACAGGCGGUGAUGGAGAUCCACUUGCUGUCGAUGAGCGAUGUCCUGGUGACGAGCCCGCCAUCCACGUUUGGCUACUCGGCGGCGGGGCUGGCGGGCGUGAGGCCCGUGCAGUUCGUGUGCGACCAGAGCGUGGUUUGCUCAGUGAGGGAGACGAUGGAGCCGUGCUACCACGUUUAUCCGGCUCAGUUCGCGCUGGACAACAUUGAAAAGUGCGAAUGCGGUGGGGUUUCAGACUAGUCUAAAGGACAUUCUUAGAAAGGGUGUUGUCUUAGAAAGUUCUAAGAUUUUAUUUUCUUUUUCGUGAUAGAUUUCUAAGUUGCUCCUUGGCUGCAUGAUGCAAAUCUAGCGUCUUUUGUAGAUUUGCGUGGUCAGGUCAUGCUCUUGGCCCACGCAAAGUUGCGCCAAGGCUGCCUUGAAAUCCGACAUACACGGAACAGGUAAUUUGCUACCAAGAGCUUAUAGACUUCAAAUGGCGAGCUGUCUUUUGUGCAGGACUUUGAAAAACUGCCCAUAUAGUGUUCUGGCUUGGAAGCUAACGAUUCUUAUUUUGACAGAUGGCACGCGCAAAGGACUUGACUGUUUACCAAGCCCGGUGCUGUUUGUGUGAAUAUAAAACAGUGGAGGCCCAUUGGAUCCAAUUGUAUCGGAGCAAGCACGGCUCUUGGUUCUUAUACAACGAUAUCAUCACUAUGUUUAGUGCUUUUGUGGCUGGAAUGAAUCGUGGAAAGAUACUUCUUGCCAUCGCAUUGGUGAUCAUGAUCAGCGGCAACAUCGAAUGUUGCAGGCCGGGCUCGUUUUCGGUGAUGAGCCAGCAGGGCGAGCUUUUCAAUUCCGAAUUGCACUUUCCUGUUGUUAAAAAGAUCCACACUCUUCUCGAAAGAACCUCCCGGAGAAUGCUCACCCAGGGUCAGCCCACGCCAGCUCCCGGCCCUUCCGGGUGCUGCCACGAUAAUUGAAGUGGCGGACAGCCACGUGGCUGACACGUCAUGCAAGGCUCUUUCCAUCUGGCGGCGAAUUCUCCUCCAAAUCCUCCACCUCCACUCCUUUCCCCAUUCUUCCCCACCUCCGCUCCCUCCCAUUACAGUCACACAUCAAUUUACCCAGCUUGCGUCCAGGAGGCGCUUGUCUCACCAAGGUGAAGGGGAAUGAUAAAGGCAACUUUCCAUUUUUCCUUGACUUGAGAGCUGCGUGGAAUUCCCAGAAGUUCCACUCCAGCAAGUAAUGUCUCCACAAGACUUUCAGGGAUGUCUUGUACAGCUGCGAGCAAUCAGCCGUGGUGGUGGCUUGCCCUUGUUCUGGCGAGAAGAUCUGCAAAGAGGAGCGGCUGCAGUGAGUCUUGAAGAUUCGCAGGUCGUUCGGAUUGGGUAUUGGGCAGCACUGGCAAAGGCAGAUUUUCUCCCACUUGACGUGAUGGAGUCUCAUUGGAAUGCACGUUUGGUGAGAUGAUCAGCGCCUUGGAGACAGGAUUGUAGACCUUGUAAGCCUUGUGUUCAAUGCCAUAGCCUAGGAAAAUGCUUCGUUCGCUUGUUGGAGUGUGUUUUUUUUCUAGUUAUAGAGGGGAUAUGGACGCCAUGGAAGGUGCGCUAAUCCAUUCGAAUUCCACUUUGUGCAAGAACCCUUGACAAUCCUGGACCUCAACAUUGGCAAGCACUUAAACGAGUCUUUUGGUACUUCCGAGAUACGUUUUCUUACGGUCUUAAGGCCACAAGUCAAGCUUACUGGGCUGGCUUUGGCUAAAUUGUUUAGCCUUCACAAUGCAGUUGGCAGCAAGAAGCAGAGCGUCCUUGCCUGCUCCGGCUGUGAGGCGGAGGCUAGUUCCGCAUGCAAAGAGGCCAUCUGGCUUUGCCGCCUCCUCAACGACACCCGGCCCAACACCAAUCUACUGCAACAAUCAAGGCUGCAUCGCCUUGAGCAAACAUCACAAGAUUAAUUCCCGGACGACACACGCACCACGCUGAGAGACACGUCCAGUUCUUUCCAUGUUCUUGUGAUUUCAAUCUCGAUAAUGCAAUCUUAAUUGAACAUCACAACAGCCUGGAAAUCGAGUCCGCUGCUUCAUCCCACCAAACAAUCUGAUCUCGUGCACAGCAUGAAACAAACAUUCUCUGUGCCUCUCCUGAUAGAGCCAUACAGAACCUUCUCAUGUCCAGCCACUUGAUUAUUAUAUGCAGCACACUCAAAUACGUCCAGGUAAAUCCCGAAAUCCUCUCAAAGUAGGCUAAAGGAGAUACUUUGUCAUCUUGCCAAAAGUCCCUUCUAACACAUGCUUGAGGGUUAGAGAGGGCUUGGGUGAGUUGGCAAGGUGUAGUUUUGGUCUUUCCCUUGAAAGAUCAUGGACCUCACUUAACUACAGUAUCACCUUUAGCCCAUUACAAUGCUGCAUAAAGGGAUCACUGCGUUUGCUCAUUGUGGCGAGGGCGAGAAAGUCCUCGAUGGGAGCGUGGAAGGUGACACUCCGGCCUGCGCCUACAUCAGCUCCGUGAAUCGCAACAAGGAUUUCUUUCUUCUCGUGACAGGGGAUUUUAGGAUCGCACCAGGCACAGGCAACUGGAGAAUGCCAAGGAAUUGCUGCGUGCCAUGCCGUUUGUGCCGGAUGCUCUGGUUUGUAGGGUUUUGGUGGCAUCUUGCCGAUCGCAUUACGAUAUAUUUCGGGCAUUGGAUCGACGUAUGUCCUGGCAAAUCGCUCCAGGAGCGUGUUUAAAAUGGAAAUUGGCGGGAAAGCGAUGUGUUUGUUUUUUAUUCUAUCUAGCUGUGCUUAUGAAAGUUUCCGAAAGGUAAGAGCUUUGGAAAAAUAAUUUAUUUAUAUAUGUAACUUAGUCAAGUCAGCCUCGCAACCUUUGGAGAAACUUUCAAGUCAUGCCGAUGAGCUCUCUCAACUUCUGGAUGAGACCACGGUCGUCAAUCUGGAACGCUUUCGCGAUCACGUCGUCGUUGAUUGGAGGAUUGGAAUCAAACACCGCCUUGGCCACCUGAGUCGCCCCGGGGUUUUGGCUGUUGAAGCCAGCCAUCGCAACCGCAGGCUCCUUUCCAACGUUAAGCUGAAAGUGGACGAGUCCCCGAGGGAAGACGAACAGAUCUCCAGGAUAGAGCAUUUGGGCGAAGAGCUUGUUGUCCGGCAAGGUGGUGACGAAUCCGACUAAGAGGUUCCCGUGCACGAGGAAGAGCAGCUCGGAUCCUCGGGGAUGGACGUGGGGGGGAUUGGUGCCGCCGGGAGCAUAGUCGACGCGGGCAAAAGCUACACCAAAGGUGUUGAGACCGGGGAAAUUGUUGACACUCGCCAGCGUGACGUUGGAGCCGAGCUUGUUGUCGGUGUUCCCGGGAGUCGCCAGCAGGCUCGACUUGAAGUCCUCGGCUUUCACAUCGGCGGCCGCCUUGCAGACCACGCCGUUCACUUUGAUCUUGGAGCCAUUGUCCGCAACGCAAAAGUCCUGCAGCAUAUCUUCAUCCGCGGCAUGCACAAACAAGAUGGAGCUGAUUGCUAGGAGGAAGGAUAGAACAAAACGAAGAUGAGCCAUCUUGCGAGCUUGGAAAAGACUGAUGGAGCUAUAUGAGGGAGGGGCAGGCAUUUUAUAGCCGGAGGAGGGAAGGCGAGGUCCUUUGGAUGACUUCGUCGUGAAUCGUGCACGAUUUUAGGUACACGGUCUUUUCUUCCCUUCUAUUUCAUUUUUUACUCUUGCUGUCCGCGUAACACAAUCUGAUUUGUUUGCUGCCAAGUCGUCUCAGAAGUUUUCUUUUACCGGGCUUGUCUAGAGCUGUCAAAUUCAUCUUUUAUGUGUGUAGAUGAUGACGACCUUGGUUUUGAUGGUCAGAAUGAAACUCGAGUUUUACACGGUUUUAAAAACUUGACACUAAAUUGCUUUGUUCUUCUACCAGAGACUUUUUAUGUGUGGAGUUUUAACGGAAUUAUUAUGGAUUGUGUAGGUCCAUUGCUGAUACAAAUAAACUAUGGGUAUAUCGACCAAAGGUACGUCUAUGUAGGUUAUCAAUUUUGCAGACAACUGUGUAAAAGGAUAGUUGCUCACAUAGUCAUGAGACAUACAUAGUUAUAGUCAUUGUGAUUAUUGCUUGCAUCAUUGUCAUGGGCAAAAUAGAAUGUUUAUUGCUGCCACUUUAUUAAUUAGUUUAAUGCAAUAAACUUAUGAUAUUAAAAAGUUUUAUAAUUUGUCCCACCAGUGCAAUCUAGGAAAGCAUCCAGUUGGGGUGGUGGGAGUGAACUGAGAGAUACUCCUAUGCUGCUGUGUGAGCAUGUCAAUCAGUCAGCUGACCUCAGUAUCAGUGGUCGUGGGCAGUGCAUUCUAAAGCUCUUGGACUUGUUGGGCAAAGUCGGGCACCCAUGCUGGCAUGACUUGGUCGUGAUUCUGGUUGUUGAUAGGAGUGUUGUAAGUAGCAUAUGCAUCCUAGUCAGACAUGAGGCGGUCAAGAACUCUUGGAAUUCCCUGCCAUUGCAAAGAAACAAAGAAAAAAUAUCAAUGGCUAACUUUCAUUCACCAUUUUGUCAAGGAAAAAUCUAAACAAUACACCACAUUAUUAAAGAAUAGUUUGGCUGACCAAGAUGUAAUCGUUUGUACUACUCCUGUUCCAUCUAUGGUGCCCAAUUGUGUAGUGCUGUUAAUAAUGUAGAGUUGAGAGGCAUUAUUAGUCAUGUGGAUGUCCUCUGCUGCUGCCUGGUUCGAGGAGCCCUUCCGCUGUUGUGAGUUGAGCCUGCAAAGUCCGUUGCAAUAUUAAAAACGUUUAACUGCCCAGUCAGCCUCACUGGUUUGAUCGGUCAGUGUAUAGUUUUAUCUUAAGAGUAACAUUCCACGAACUAGAGAGUAGAAUUUAGCUGCUCAACCAAAGUCCCACCCAUAUCCAUAACCCAUGCCUUGUCCACCAGUGGAAUCAACUCUCUGCGAGGAAAGAAAAUAAGAUCCAAGCACUAAUCACGCAAGUUUACCGCAGAUCAUGGCUCACAACGAGCAACGUCCUCUCCUUCUUUAAGUACGCGAGGUAAGAAUGUAGCUUGGAAUUUUUGGUGACGUGUUGCUGAUCUCUCUAUCUCUUGAAGCGCCCGAAGAGACAACGCAUGUUACUUUCGAUGAAUCGGCUGUUUCCCUCCCACAACCGGCCAAGACACACAACUCGGCUUGCAAAAAUGGCGAAGAGGUUUGCAAUUUUUCUUUCCUUCUCUAUAUACUGAAGUCUUAAGCUUGCAAGGGUGCCAGAAUGCUGAAACGGAUUCUACCAGCCAGUGAGCUUGUUUACGUUUCGCGUGGCUAUUGGUGAAAUUCAUGGUGUUCUUGCUUUUAAGGUUGCUUCGACUCGACUAUGCUGCGGCGAUGCGUCCCCAUCCUGAGAAGGUGCAAAGCUUACUUGCUAAUUUUUGUAGAUCUUCUAAGCUUUGCUGUUUACAGGCUCAAAGAGGGGGUGAAGAUGCCUUCGUCACAGAAGGCUCCUGGAUGGGUGUUGCUGAUGGUUCUGGGGGCUGGGCCGGAGAAGGUAAGACAAAUCUUUCUUUGAGUCUGUUUCUUCAAAAGAGUUUUUACUGGUUUUCAGGCAUUGAUUCGGGGAUGUAUUCUCGGGAGCUUAUGGGACACUGUAAGGCAUUGGUUGUAAACAGCAAAGGGAAACCGGACCCCAAGGACGUGCUUGUCAAAGCCGCCGGCAGUACAAAGGCCCAGGGAUCAGCAACGGUCCUUGUGGCUGCAUUGUUUGAGCAAGUAAGCUAGUCGGAUUUGAUGUUUGAGGCUGAGUCGGGUCAUAUAUUUCAGACAUGUACGCAGCAAACUUGGGAGACUUGGGUUCAUCAUAGUUCGCAAUUGGCAAGUAGUUGCAAGCUCGGAGCCCAUGCAGCAUAGUUUUAACUUUCCGUUUCAAGUUGGAACAUUUGGUGACCAUCCGACGGUUGCAGAGGUACUCUUGCUUUUCCCUUAACUUCGCUAAUUUUCCGUUUACAGGAAUUCAAGAUCCCUGUCUGCAAGGGGGACAUCAUUGUUUUGGGAACUGAUGGCCUUUUUGACAAUCUCUUCAACAACGACAUAAUCGAAGUUCUUAAAAAAUCUGACCAAGUCAACUUCAAGGUGAACUCUCGCUGUUAAGAUUGCUAAUAUUCUCUUCACUUUACAGGCAUGUAGCUGGGACGUAGGCCGAGCGUUUGGACAGCCCGUUUGCUAGGGGGGCUGCAAAGGCGAGAAUGAAUUGGAGCGGUGGAAAGCUGUUGUGGCGUUUGUGACGUGAUAUUUGAGUCGCGAAGGGUAAACUUUUCAAGCAGUUUUUGCGGAGGCCAGUGUAAAUUGCUCAGGCCGCGGUAUUUCCGGUUCUUACGCUAAUUGAGGUAUGACACCUUUUUGAUUUUAUUCAAACGGCUCAUCUUCGUGUCUUUGGUGUCUAGCCUUCAUUAGAAACUGGUUUAAAUCGCACGUAGCUGCUGCUGAAUCUUCCUUUAAGAAAUCAAGGUUUUGUUCCAUCAGAAGCUUCACAGCGUGGAAGUUCUAGCCUCACUGGAGAUUGAACUCCGGACAGGACAGGUAUCUCUUCUGUUUAGAGGGAACUGCUCAGGGUGUUAGACAUGUCAGGGAAUCAGUUCAGCUGGACGAUCACGAGCCGGCAACAUGAUCUCUGGCUCGUCCUUCUCGGGGGUACAUCGAGCUGCUAGGCCUUUGGCACGAUGGGAUCUUUCGCAACUGCGUGGCUCUCCAGGAGCUCUUCAACAGUCUCACUCCCCCGUCCAGCAGCAAACUCCGGAAUGUCAUUCUCGGCUCUACAUCUCUCAGCCAUCCAAAUGGGUGUGCGGGCUUGGAAGUGCUCGAACAACGUUUCGGAGGAGCACGUGUGGGCUGUAUCUUGUCUCUCAGCUUGGGCAGACUCUUUGAGUUUGCUCGGAUCUCUCGGAGAACCGGUUGGAGGGGCUGGUUCUGAAGGACUAAGUGGUGGAAACCCUGCUACGGUCGGAUAGCAACAAAGAGCUCACGGAGAACAGCUUGAAGGACAGCUCCAGGCGAGCUCGUGUGGAAGAUCCUUGGAUACCGCUCUCAUCCCAGUACCGUGAGACUCCACCAGAAAGAUGGUGAGCGACGAAGUCAAUUGGCUGGAGCUGUGAGUUCCUUCUUCGUCUUGAGUAUUUGGUCGCGUGUCCCGUCCACAUGGUAAGCCACGGAAUUGUUUCUUAGUUGCUCAAAUCUUAAUUCUUUCUGAUCUUCAGGUUAGUAAUCACCAUCACCAACUAAGAGGAAUUUUUUGCAUUGAGGUGGAGUUCGGGAGGCAACUUUCCAGGAUCGGAGGAUGAAAAGUUACAGCCCGAGCUUGCUGUUCUUCGUGCUCCUCUUCUCCGCUGCAGCACUGCUACUCAUAUGGGUUCUCGACAUAAAUUCCGACUCUGCGAUGAUGUCCCGGAGCCGAACUCUGGGAUCAAACUUCCGGAUCAGCAACAACACCACAAGCUACAACGGCAGCGACACUUGCAGGAGCAGGAACGAGUACGACUUCUACAGCCGCCGAAGAUCGACGAGCUUCGAGCCAUCCGAGUCGCUCCAAAGGAAAAUCCUAGAGUGGAGGCUUUGCGCGGGAGGUGCGCUCCGGGGCCCGAGCAGUGCGCGAACUGUAGUACAUGCGGCUACCUCGUCUACGUUCCCGCCAGCCAGGGGAUCGGCAACAAGAUGGUGGCUAUAGUAGCAGCGUUUCUCUACCCGCUGCUCACCGACAGGACGAUGCUGAUCGCGAGGUUGGAGAACCUGGACACGCUCUUCUGCGAGCCGUUUCCACCCAGCUCCUGGCUGCUGCCGUCGAGCUGGAAGCACCUCGAGUUGGCGCCGUGGGACGCCUCCAAGUGGAUUGGAAGCCUGGUGGGAUCGCCCAACUGCAGCCGCGGCGUCGACGUGAGCUUGGUGGCCUAUCUCGAUUACAACUACAGGGACCAGGACAAGGCCUUCUUCUGCCAAGAUCAACAGCAAGCUCUUAACUCCAGCGCGCGGUGGAUCGUCCUCUCCUCCGGCCAGUACUUCACUCCGGCACUCUACAACGUCCCGGCUUUCAGGAGCAAGCUCGAGGAAUGGUUCCCACAGCAGGAGGCCAUCUUCCAUCUCCUGGUGAGGUACCUGUUGCUUCCCAGUGACUUCGGGACAAGGCGGCCAGGUACUACGACGCGUACCUGGCCCAGGCCGAGCUUCUAGUCGGGGUCCAGCUGCGAAGCCACAUCUGGUUCUCGCCACCCAACCUCGCCGAGGAUACGUUCGACUGCCUGGUGCAACAAGGCGCGCUCGCAAACACCACCCAGGAGCGAGCUCCCAGAUCGUCGGUGAGGAAGAACAGCAAGAAGGUGGCGGUGCUGGUGGUGUCGCUCAACUUGCAGUACUCGGAGACGCUCAAGAGCAAGGUGCUGGGAUACGAUCUAGCGGACGGCUCCUCGGUGUCCAUCCACCAGCCGAGCGUGGAGGGCGUGCAAAACACAGGGAACUUGGAUCACGACGCACAGGCGGUGAUGGAGAUCUACUUGCUGUCGAUGAGCGAUGUCCUGGUGACGAGCCCGCCAUCCACGUUUGGCUACUCGGCGGCGGGGCUGGAGGGCGUGCGGCCCGUGCAGUUCGUGUGCGACCAGAACAAGAGCGUGGUCUGCUCGGUGAGGGAGACGAUGGAGCCGUGCUACCACGUUUAUCCGGCUCAAUUCGCGCUGGACAACAUUGAAAAGUGCGAAUGCGGCAUGGGUUUCAGACUAGUCUAAAGUACAUUCUUAGAAAGGGUGUUGUCUUAGAAAGUUCUUAAAGCUUUUAAAAUUUUAUUUUCUUUCUCGUGAUAGAUUUCUAAGUUGCUCCUUGGCUGCAUCACGCAAAUCUAGCGUCAUUUGUAGACUUGCGUGGUCAGGUCAUGCUCUUGGCCCAUGCAAAGUUGCACCAAGGCUGCCUGGAAAUCCAGGUAAUUUGGUACCAAGAGCUUAUAGACUUCAAAUGGCGAGCUGUCUUUUGUGCAGGACUUUGAAAAACUGCUCGUAGAGUGUUCUGGCUUGGAAGCUAACGAGUCUUGUUUUGACAGAUGGCACGUGCAAAGGACUUGACUGUUUACCAAGCCCGGUGGAGAACUUUCUAUGUGAAUGAAUAUAAAACACUGGAGGCCCAUUGGAUCCAAUCGUAGCAGAGCAAGCACAGCUCUUGGUUCUUAUACAACGAUAUCAUCACUACGUUUAGUGCUUUUGUGGCUGGAAUGGAUCGUGGAAGGAUACUUCUUGCCAUCACAUUGGUGAUCAUGAUCAGCGGCAAUAUCGAUUGUUCCAGGCCAGGCUCAUUUUUGGUGAUGAGCCAACAGGCCGAGCUUUUCAAUUUCGAAUUGCGCCUUCCUGUUGCUAACAAGAUCCACACUCUUCUCGAAAGGACCUCCCGGAGAAUGCUCAUCCAGGGUCAGCCCACGCCACCCUCCGGCCCUUCCGAGGACAACCACGAUCAUGAUUGAAGAGGCGGACAGCCACGUGGCUGACACGUCACGCAAGGAGACACGUCAGGCUCUUUCCAUCUGGCGGCGAAUUCUCCUCCAAAUCCUUCACCUCCACUUCUUUUCCCAUUCUUUCGCACCUCCGCUCCCUCCCAUUACAGUCACACACCCAGCAUGCGUCCAGGAGGGGACGUCUCACCAAGGUGUGGGGAAUGAUAAAGGCAACUUUCCAUUUUUCCCUGUCAACUUCAAGAGACUUGAGAGCCGCUUGGAAUUCCCAGAAGUUCCACUCCAGCAAGUAAAGUCUCCACAAAACUUUCAGGGAUGUCGUGUACAGCUGCGAGCAAUCAGCCGUGGUGGUGGCUUGCCCUUGUUCUGGCGAGAAGAUCUGCAAAGAGGAGCGGCUGCAGUGAGUCUCGAAGAUUCGCAGGUCGUUCGGAUUGGGCAUGGCUUGAGGGCCGGGCAGGGCAGGAGGGACAAGAGCCGGUGGUGCUAGAGCAGGCUGCAGAGGGAAGUGGGCAGCACUGGCAAAGGCAGAUUUUCUCCCACUUGACGUGAUGCAGUCUCAUUGAAAUGCACGUCUGGUGAGAUGAUCAGCGUCUUGGAGACAGGAUUGUAGACUUUGUAAGCCAAUGCUAUAGCCUAGGAAAAUGCCUCGUUCGCUUGUUGAAGUGAGUUUUUUUCUAGUUUUAGAGGGGAUAUGGACGCCAUGGAAGGUGCGCUAAUCCAUUUGAAUUCCACUUUGUGCAAGAACUUGACAAUCCUGGACCUCAACAUUGGCAAGCACUUAAACGUGUCUUACGAGAUAUGUUUCCUUACAGUCUUAAGGCCACGAGUCAAGCUUACUGGGCUGGCUUUGGCUAUAUUGUUUAGCCUUCACAAUGCAAUUGACAGCAAGAAGAAGAGCGUCGUUGCCUGCUCCAGCUGUGAGGCGGAGGCUAGUUCCGCAUGCAAAGAGGCCAUCUGGCUUCGCCACCUCCUCCUCAACGACACCCGGCCCAACACCAAUCUACUGUGACAAUCAAAGCUACAUUGCCUCGAGCAAACAUCACAAGAUUAAUUCCCGGACAAAACACGCACUAGGCUAAAGGAGAUAUUUUCUCAGCUUGCCAAAAGCCUCUUCUAACACAUGCUUGAGGGUUAGAGAGGGCUUGGGUGAGUUGGCAAGGUGUAGUUUUGGUCUUUCCCUUGAACAUUGUAAGAUCAUGGACCUCACUUCACUACAGUGUCACCUUUAGCCCAUUACAAUGCUGCAUAAAGGGAUCACUGCGUUUGCUCAUUGUGGCGAGGGCGAGAAAGUCCCGGAUGGGAGCGUGGAAGGUGACACUCCGGCCUGCGCCUACAUCAGCUCCGUGAAUCGCAUCAAGGAUUUCUUUCUUCUCGUGACAGGGGAUUUUAGGAUCGCACCAGGCACAGCUAACUGGAGAAUGCCAAGGAAUUGCUGCGUGCCAUGCCGUUUGUGCCGGAUGCUCUGGUUUGUAGGGUUUUGGUGGCAUCUUGCCGAUCGCAUUACGAUAUAUUUCGGGCAUUGGAUCGACAUAUGUCCUGGCAAAUCGCUCCAGGAGCGUGUUUAAAAUGGAAAUUGGCGGGAAAGCGAUGUGUUUGUUUUUUAUUCUAUCUAGCUGUGCUUACGAAAGUUUCCGAAAGGUAAGAGCUUUGGAAAAAUAAUUUAUUUAUAUAUGUAACUUAGUCAAGUCAGCCUCGCAACCUUUGGAGAAACUUUCAAGUCAUGCCGAUGAGCUCUCUCAACUUCUGGAUGAGACCACGGUCGUCAAUCUGGAACGCUUUCGCGAUCACGUCGUCGUUGAUUGGAGGAUUGGAAUCAAACACCGCCUUGGCCACCUGAGUCGCCCCGGGGUUUUGGCUGUUGAAGCCAGCCAUCGCAACCGCAGGCUCCUUUCCAACGUUAAGCUGAAAGUGGACGAGUCCCCGAGGGAAGACGAACAGAUCUCCAGGAUAGAGCAUUUGGGCGAAGAGCUUGUUGUCCGGCAAGGUGGUGACGAAUCCGACUAAGAGGUUCCCGUGCACGAGGAAGAGCAGCUCGGAUCCUCGGGGAUGGACGUGGGGGGGAUUGGUGCCGCCAGGAGCAUAGUCGACGCGGGCAAAAGCUACACCAAAGGUGUUGAGACCGGGGAAAUUGUUGACACUCGCCAGCGUGACGUUGGAGCCGAGCUUGUUGUCGGUGUUCCCGGGAGUUGCCAGCAGGCUCGACUUGAAGUCCUCGGCUUUCACAUCGGCGGCCGCCUUGCAGACCACGCCGUUCACUUUGAUCUUGGAGCCAUUGUCUGCAACGCAAAAGUCCUGCAGCAUAUCUUCAUCCGCGGCAUGCACAAACAAGAUGGAGCUGAUUGCUAGGAGGAAGGAUAGAACAAAACGAAGAUGAGCCAUCUUGCGAGCUUGGAAAAGACUGAUGGAGCUAUAUGAGGGAGGGGCAGGCAUUUUAUAGCCGGAGGAGGGGAGGCGAGGUCCUUUGGAUGACUUCGUCGUGAAUCGUGCACGAUUUUAGGUACACGGUCUUCUCUUCCCUUCUAUUUCAUUUUUUUACUCUUGCUGUCCGCGUAACACAAUCUGAUUUGUUUGCUGCCAAGUCGUCUCGGAAGUUUUCUUUUACCGGGCUUGUCUAGAGCCGUCAAAAUCAUCUUUUCUGUGUGUAGAUGAUGACGACCUUGGUUUUGAUGGUAAGAACUGGUCUCAGUGAAACUCGAGUUUUACACGGUCUUGGUAAAAACUUGACACUAAAUUGCUUGGCACCAGAGUUUUAACGGAAUUAUUAUGGAUUGUGUAGGUCCAUUGCUGAUACAAAUAAACCAUGGGUAUACUGACCAAAGGUACGUCUAUGUAGGUUAUCAAUUUUGCAGACAACUGUGUUGUUAGAAGGAUGGUUGCUCACAUAGUCAUGAGACAUACAUAGUCUUAGUCAUUGUGAUUAUUGCUUGCAUCAUUGUCAUGGGCAAAAUAGAAUGUUUAUUGCUGCCACUUUAUUAAUUAGUUUAAUGCAAUAAACUUAUGAUAUUAAAAAGUUUUAUAAUUUGUCCCACCAGUGCAAUCUAGGAAAGCAUCCAGUUGGGGUGGUGGGAGUGAACUGAGAGAUACUCCUAUGCUGCUGUGUGAGCAUGUCAAUCAGUCAGCUGACCUCAGUAUCAGUGGUCGUGGGCAGUGCAUUCUAAAGCUCUUGGACUUGUUGGGCAAAGUCGGGCACCCAUGCUGGCAUGACUUGGUCGUGAUUCUGGUUGUUGAUAGGAGUGUUGUAAGUAGCAUAUGCAUCCUAGUCAGACAUGAGGCGGUCAAGAACUCUUGGAAUUCCCUGCCAUUGCAAAGAAACAAAGAAAAAAUAUCAAUGGCUAACUUUCAUUCACCAUUUUGUCAAGGAAAAAUCUAAACAAUACACCACAUUAUUAAAGAAUAGUUUGGCUGACCAAGAUGUAAUCGUUUGUACUACUCCUGUUCCAUCUAUGGUGCCCAAUUGUGUAGUGCUGUUAAUAAUGUAGAGUUGAGAGGCAUUAUUAGUCAUGUGGAUGUCCUCUGCUGCUGCCUGGUUCGAGGAGCCCUUCCGCUGUUGUGAGUUGAGCCUGCAAAGUCCGUUGCAAUAUUAAAAACGUUUAACUGCCCAGUCAGCCUCACUGGUUUGAUCGGUCAGUGUAUAGUUUUAUCUUAAGAGUAACAUUCCACGAACUAGAGAGUAGAAUUUAGCUGCUCAACCAAAGUCCCACCCAUAUCCAUAACCCAUGCCUUGUCCACCAGUGGAAUCAACUCUCUGCGAGGAAAGAAAAUAAGAUCCAAGCACUAAUCACGCAAGUUUACCGCAGAUCAUGGCUCACAACGUCCUCUCCUUCUUUAAGUACACGAGGUAAGAAUGUAGCUUGGAAUUUUUGGUGAGGUGUUGCUGAUCUCUCUAUCUCUUGAAGCGCCCGAAGAGUCAACGCAUGUUACUUUCGAUGAAUCGGCUGUUUCCCUCCCACAACCGGCCAAGACACACAGCUCGGCUUGCAAAAGUGACGAAGAGGUUUGCAAAUUUUUUUCCCUUCUCUAUAUACUGAAGUCUCAAGCUUGCAGGGGUGCCAGAAUGCUGAAACGGAUUCAAAUCUCACAUCCCGAGUCAAUGCUAUUGCCGACAUAUUGUCACAGUAGAGUUUGACUGCUGGAAUUUGAAUCCCGAGGUCCUGCAGCAAUGUCUUAAGCCAGAUGGCCUCUUUCGCUGCUGCUGCAGCUGUGAUGUAUUCAGAUUUGCAUGAGAACAUCGUAGUGAUCUAUUGCCUCUUGGAACACUAACUAACCAUGUGAUGGUUAUACAUGAAGACAUACCCUGAGGUGGAUCUUUUGUCAUCUGGAUCUCCUGCCCAGUCUACAUCUGUGAAUCCCACCAGGCCGUUGUCUCCAUCUCCUCUUGCAUAUUUUAGUGUGAAUUUCCUUGUGCCACUCAUAUACCUCAUGAUCUGCUUCACAACGGCUCAAUGUGAGGGUGAUGGAUUGUCCAGGAACUUUGAGACUGCUCCCACAUUGAAUGCGAGGUCAAGCUUAGUUGAGACCAUCAAGUAGAUGAGGCUCCCGACCACUGAACGGUACAGUGUUGUGGUCUCCUCCUCGGGAGUGUCAUCAGAGGUUGAUGUCAAACUUCUCCAGAGGUAUUCUAUGCUUAACGCUAAUCCGGUGGCUACUCCUAUGGAAGUAGGCUCAAAGUUGUCCAAAGCUUUUAUGUCAUGGAUGUAUUUAGGAGAGCUCAAGUACUCCACAUUGCUUAUCAGUGCAAGUUUCCCAGAUCCGUCAUCUCAAAUCUAGCAGCGAGAGAGGCCUUGAUGUGGUGGAUGAGUUGUAUCUAGUUAUUGUAUCGUCCACAUAUAAGGCUAAGAAUAGAAAUCCUUGGCCAUCUCGGUAUAUGUAGAGAUUAUUAUCAGCCGUGCUACGAGUAAAGCCCAACGAGGUCAGAAAGUUGUUAAUUUUAGUGUACCAUGACCUGGGCCUUUGUUUCAGCCCGUAGAGAGCGUCACCACAUUGCCGGACAACAAGCUCUUCGCCCAAAUGCUCUAUCCCGGAGAUCUGUUCGUCUUCCCUCGGGGACUCGUUCACUUCCAGCUCAAUGUUGGAAAGGAGCCUGCGGUUGCGAUGGCUGGCUUCAACAGCCAAAACCCCGGGGCGACUCAGGUGGCCAAGGCGGUGUUUGAUUCCAAUCCUCCAAUCAAUGACGACGUGAUCGCGAAAGCGUUCCAGAUUGACGACCGUGGUCUCAUCCAGAAGCUGAGAGAGCUCAUCGGCAUGACUUGAAAGUUUCUCCAAAGGUUGCGAGGCUGACUUGACUAAGUUACAUAUACAAAUAAAUUAUUUUUCCAAAGCUCUUACCUUUAGAUAGUGGAGACUUUCGUAAGCACAGCUAGAUAGAAUAAAAAACAAACACAUCGCUUUCCCGCCAAUUUCCAUUUUAAACACGCUCUUGGAGCGAUUUGCCAGGACAUAUGUCGAUCCAAUGCCCAAAACAUAUCGUAAUGCGAUCGGCAAGAUGCCACCAAAACCCUACAAACCAGAGCAUCCGGCACAAACGAGCAAUUCCUCGGCAUUCUCCAGUUGCCUGCCACGGCCGAAGAUAUCGAUCAUGCAGACGAACUGAUCCCUGCCUGGCGCGAUCCUAAAAUCCUCUGUCACGAGAAGAAAGAAAUCCUUGUUGCGAUUCACGGAGCUGAUGUAGGCACAGGCCGGAGUGUCACCUUUCUCAUUGCGCCCUCGCCACAAUGAGCAAACGCAGUGAUCCCUUUAUGCAGCAUUGUAAUGGGCUAAAGGUGACACUGUAGUGAAGUGAGGUCCAUGAUCUUACAAUGUUCAAGGGAAAGACCAAAACUACACCUUGUCAACUCACCCAAGCCCUCUCUAAGGGGCUUUUGGCAAGAUGACAAAGUAUCUCCUUUAGCCUACUUUGAGAGGAUUUCGGGAUUUACCUGGACGUAUUUGAGUGUACUGCAUAUAAUAAUCAAGUGGCUGGACAUGAGAAGGUUCUGUAUGGCUCUAUCAGGAGAGGCACAGAGAAUGUUUGUUUCAUGCUGUGCACGAGAUCAGAUUGUUUGGUUGGAUGAAGCAGUGGACUCGAUUUCCAGGCUGUUGUGAUGUUCAAUUAAGAUUGCAUUAUCGAGAUUGGAAUCACAAGAACAUGGAAAGAACUGGACGUGUCUCCCAGCGUGGUGCGUGUUUCGUCCGGGAAUUAAUCUUGUGAUGUUUGCUCGAGGCGAUGUAGCCUUGAUUGUCACAGUAGAUUGGUGUUGGGCCGGGUGUCGUUGAGGAGGCGGCGAAGCCAGAUGGCCUCUUUGCAUGCGGAACUAGCCUCCGCCUCACAGCUGGAGCAGGCAACGACGCUCUUCUUCUUGCUGCUAACUNNNNNNNNNNNNNNNNNNNNNNNNNNNNNNNNNNNNNNNNNNNNNNNNNNNNNNNNNNNNNNNNNNNNNNNNNNNNNNNNNNNNNNNNNNNNNNNNNNNNNNNNNNNNUCAAUGUUGAGGUCCAGGAUUGUCAAGGGUUCUUGCACAAAGUGGAAUUCGAAUGGAUUAGCGCACCUUCCAUGGCGUCCAUAUCCCCUCUAUAACUAGAAAAAAAACACACUCCAACAAGCGAACGAAGCAUUUUCCUAGGCUAUGGCAUCUCACCAGACGGGCAUUUCAAUGGGACUGCAUCACGUCAAGUGGGAGAAAAUCUGCCUUUGCCAGUGCUGCCCAUUUCCCUCUGCAGCCUGCUCUAGCACCACCGGCUCUUGUCCCUCCUGCCCUGCCCGGCCCUCAAGCCAUGCCCAAUCCGAACGACCUGCGAAUCUUCGAGACUCACUGCAGCCGCUCCUCUUUGCAGAUCUUCUCGCCAGAACAAGGGCAAGCCACCACCACGGCUGAUUGCUCGCAGCUGUACACGACAUCCCUGAAAGUUUUGUGGAGACUUUACUUGCUGGAGUGGAACUUCUGGGAAUUCCAAGCGGCUCUCAAGUCUCUUGAAGUUGACAGGGAAAAAUGGAAAGUUGCCUUUAUCAUUCCCCACACCUUGGUGAGACGUCCCCUCCUGGACGCAUGCUGGGUGUGUGACUGUAAUGGGAGGGAGCGGAGGUGCGAAAGAAUGGGAAAAGAAGUGGAGGUGAAGGAUUUGGAGGAGAAUUCGCCGCCAGAUGGAAAGAGCCUGACGUGUCUCCUUGCGUGACGUGUCAGCCACGUGGCUGUCCGCCUCUUCAAUCAUGAUCGUGGUUGUCCUCGGAAGGGCCGGAGGGUGGCGUGGGCUGACCCUGGAUGAGCAUUCUCCGGGAGGUCCUUUCGAGAAGAGUGUGGAUCUUGUUAGCAACAGGAAGGCGCAAUUCGAAAUUGAAAAGCUCGGCCUGUUGGCUCAUCACCAAAAAUGAGCCUGGCCUGGAACAAUCGAUAUUGCCGCUGAUCAUGAUCACCAAUGUGAUGGCAAGAAGUAUCCUUCCACGAUCCAUUCCAGCCACAAAAGCACUAAACGUAGUGAUGAUAUCGUUGUAUAAGAACCAAGAGCUGUGCUUGCUCUGCUACGAUUGGAUCCAAUGGGCCUCCAGUGUUUUAUAUUCAUUCACAUAGAAAGUUCUCCACCGGGCUUGGUAAACAGUCAAGUCCUUUGCACGUGCCAUCUGUCAAAACAAGACUCGUUAGCUUCCAAGCCAGAACACUCUACGAGCAGUUUUUCAAAGUCCUGCACAAAAGACAGCUCGCCAUUUGAAGUCUAUAAGCUCUUGGUACCAAAUUACCUGGAUUUCCAGGCAGCCUUGGUGCAACUUUGCAUGGGCCAAGAGCAUGACCUGACCACGCAAGUCUACAAAUGACGCUAGAUUUGCGUGAUGCAGCCAAGGAGCAACUUAGAAAUCUAUCACGAGAAAGAAAAUAAAAUUUUAAAAGCUUUAAGAACUUUCUAAGACAACACCCUUUCUAAGAAUGUACUUUAGACUAGUCUGAAACCCAUGCCGCAUUCGCACUUUUCAAUGUUGUCCAGCGCGAAUUGAGCCGGAUAAACGUGGUAGCACGGCUCCAUCGUCUCCCUCACCGAGCAGACCACGCUCUUGUUCUGGUCGCACACGAACUGCACGGGCCGCACGCCCUCCAGCCCCGCCGCCGAGUAGCCAAACGUGGAUGGCGGGCUCGUCACCAGGACAUCGCUCAUCGACAGCAAGUAGAUCUCCAUCACCGCCUGUGCGUCGUGAUCCAAGUUCCCUGUGUUUUGCACGCCCUCCACGCUCGGCUGGUGGAUGGACACCGAGGAGCCGUCCGCUAGAUCGUAUCCCAGCACCUUGCUCUUGAGCGUCUCCGAGUACUGCAAGUUGAGCGACACCACCAGCACCGCCACCUUCUUGCUGUUCUUCCUCACCGACGAUCUGGGAGCUCGCUCCUGGGUGGUGUUUGCGAGCGCGCCUUGUUGCACCAGGCAGUCGAACGUAUCCUCGGCGAGGUUGGGUGGCGAGAACCAGAUGUGGCUUCGCAGCUGGACCCCGACUAGAAGCUCGGCCUGGGCCAGGUACGCGUCGUAGUACCUGGCCGCCUUGUCCCGAAGUCACUGGGAAGCAACAGGUACCUCACCAGGAGAUGGAAGAUGGCCUCCUGCUGUGGGAACCAUUCCUCGAGCUUGCUCCUGAAAGCCGGGACGUUGUAGAGUGCCGGAGUGAAGUACUGGCCGGAGGAGAGGACGAUCCACCGCGCGCUGGAGUUAAGAGCUUGCUGUUGAUCUUGGCAGAAGAAGGCCUUGUCCUGGUCCCUGUAGUUGUAAUCGAGAUAGGCCACCAAGCUCACGUCGACGCCGCGGCUGCAGUUGGGCGAUCCCACCAGGCUUCCAAUCCACUUGGAGGCGUCCCACGGCGCCAACUCGAGGUGCUUCCAGCUCGACGGCAGCAGCCAGGAGCUGGGUGGAAACGGCUCGCAGAAGAGCGUGUCCAGGUUCUCCAACCUCGCGAUCAGCAUCGUCCUGUCGGUGAGCAGCGGGUAGAGAAACGCUGCUACUAUAGCCACCAUCUUGUUGCCGAUCCCCUGGCUGGCGGGAACGUAGACGAGGUAGCCGCAUGUACUACAGUUCGCGCACUGCUCGGGCCCCGGAGCGCACCUCCCGCGCAAAGCCUCCACUCUAGGAUUUUCCUUUGGAGCGACUCGGAUGGCUCGAAGCUCGUCGAUCUUCGGCGGCUGUAGAAGUCGUACUCGUUCCUGCUCCUGCAAGUGUCGCUGCCGUUGUAGCUUGUGGUGUUGUUGCUGAUCCGGAAGUUUGAUCCCAGAGUUCGGCUCCGGGACAUCAUCGCAGAGUCGGAAUUUAUGUCGAGAACCCAUAUGAGUAGCAGUGCUGCAGCGGAGAAGAGGAGCACGAAGAACAGCAAGCUCGGGCUGUAACUUUUCAUCCUCCGAUCCUGGAAAGUUGCCUCCCGAACUCCACCUCAAUGCAAAAAAUUCCUCUUAGUUGGUGAUGGUGAUUACUAACCUGAAGAUCAGAAAGAAUUAAGAUUUGAGCAACUAAGAAACAAUUCCGUGGCUUACCAUGUGGACGGGACACGCGACCAAAUACUCAAGACGAAGAAGGAACUCACAGCUCCAGCCAAUUGACUUCGUCGCUCACCAUCUUUCUGGUGGAGUCUCACGGUACUGGGAUGAGAGCGGUAUCCAAGGAUCUUCCACACGAGCUCGCCUGGAGCUGUCCUUCAAGCUGUUCUCCGUGAGCUCUUUGUUGCUAUCCGACCGUAGCAGGGUUUCCACCACUUAGUCCUUCAGAACCAGCCCCUCCAACCGGUUCUCCGAGAGAUCCGAGCAAACUCAAAGAGUCUGCCCAAGCUGAGAGACAAGAUACAGCCCACACGUGCUCCUCCGAAACGUUGUUCGAGCACUUCCAAGCCCGCACACCCAUUUGGAUGGCUGAGAGAUGUAGAGCCGAGAAUGACAUUCCGGAGUUUGCUGCUGGACGGGGGAAUGAGACUGUUGAAGAGCUCCUGGAGAGCCACGCAGUCGCGAAAGAUCCCAUCGCGCCAAAGGCCUAGCAGCUCCAUGUACCCCCGAGAAGGACGAGCCAGAGAUCAUGUUGCCGGCUCGUGAUCGUCCAGCUGAACUGAUUCCUUGACAUGUCUAACACCCUGAGAAGUUCCCUCUAAACAGAAGAGAUACCUGUCCUGUCCGGAGUUCAAUCUCCAGUGAGGCUAGAACUUCCAGGCUGUGAACCUUCUGAUGGAACAAAACCUUGAUUUCUUAAAGGAAGAUUCAGCAGCAGUUACCUGCGAUUUAAACCAGUUUCUAAUGAGCAAAGACACGAAGAUGAGCCGUUUGAAUAAAAUCAAAAGGGAGUCAUACCUCAAUUAGCGUAAGAACCGGAAAUACUGCGGCCUGAGCAAUUUACACUGGCCUCCGCAAAAACUGCUUGAAAAGUUUACCCUUCGCGACUCAAAUAUCACGUCACAAACGCCACAACAGCUUUCCACCGCUCCAAUUCAUUCUCGCCUUUGCAGCCCCCCUAGCAAACGGGCUGUCCAAACGCUCGGCCUACGCCCCAGCUACAUGCCUGUAAAGUGAAGAGAAUAUUAGCAAUCUUGAGAUUCUUCAACAGCGAGAGUUCACCUUCAAGUUGACUUGGUCAGAUUUUUUAAGAACUUCGACUAUGUCGUUGUUGAAGAGAUUGUCAAAAAGGCCAUCAGUUCCCAAAACAAUGAUGUCCCCCUUAGACAGGGAUCUUGAAUUCCUGUAGACGGAAAAUUAGCGAACUUAAGGGAAAAGCAAGAGUACCUCUGCAACCGUCGGAUGGUCACUAAAUGUUCCAACUUGAAACGGAAAGUUAAAACUAUGCUGCAUGGGCUCCGAGCUUGCAACUACUUGCCAAUUGCGAACUAUGAUGAACCCAAGUCUCCCAAGUUUGCUGCGUACAUGUCUGAAAUAUAUGACCCGACUCAGCCUCAAACAUCAACUCCGACUAGCUUACUUGCUCAAACAAUGCAGCCACAAGGACCGUUGCUGAUCCCUGGGCCUUUGUACUGCCGGCGGCUUUGACAAGCACGUCCUUGGGGUCCGGUUUCCCUUUGCUGUUUACAACCAAUGCCUUACAAUGUCCCAUAAGCUCCCGAGAAUACAUCCCCGAAUCAAUGCCUGAAAAGCAGUAAAAACUCUUUUGAAGAAACAGACUCAAAGAAAGAUUUUUCUUACCUUCUCCGGCCCAGCCCCCAACACCAUCAGCAACACCCAUCCAGGAGCCUUCAGUGACGAAGGCAUCUUCACCCCCUCUUUGAGCCUGUAAACAGCAAAGCUUAGAAGAUCUACAAAAAUUAGCAAGUAAGCUUUGCACCUUCUCAGGAUGGGGACGCGUCGCAGCAGCAUAGUCCAGUCGAAGCAACCUUAAAAGCAAGAACACCAUGAAUUUCACCAAUAGCCACGCGAAACGUAAACAAGCUCACCGGCUGCUAGAAUCCGUUUCAGCAUUCUGGCACCCUUGCAAGCUUGAGACUUCAGUAUAUAGAGAAGGAAAGAAAAAUUUGCAAACCUCUUCGCCAUUUUUGCAAGCCGAGUUGUGUGUCUUGGCCGGUUGUGGGAGGGAAACAGCCGAUUCAUCGAAAGUAACAUGUGUUGUCUCUUCGGGCGCUUCAAGAGAUAGAGAGAUCAGCAACACCUCACCAAAAAUUCCAGGCUACAUUCUUACCUCGCGUGCUUAAAGAAGGAGAGGACGUUGCUCGUUGUGAGCCAUGAUCUGCGGUAAACUUGCGUGAUUAGUGCUUGGAUCUUAUUUUCUUUCCUCGCAGAGAGUUGAUUCCACUGGUGGACAAGGCAUGGGUUAUGGAUAUGGGUGGGACUUUGGUUGAGCAGCUAAAUUCUACUCUCUAGUUCGUGGAAUGUUACUCUUAAGAUAAAACUAUACACUGACCGAUCAAACCAGUGAGGCUGGCUGGGCAAUUAAACGUUUUUAACAUUGCAACGGACUUCGCAGGCUCAACUAACAACAGCGGAAGGGCUCCUGGAACCAGGCAGCAGCGGAGGACAUCCACAUGACUAAUGGCGCCUCCCAACUCUACAUUGUUAACAGCACUACACAAUUGGGCACCAUAGAUGGAACAGGAGUAGUAUAAAUGAUUACAUUUUGGUCAGCCAAACUAUUCUUUAAUCAUGUGGUGUACUGUUUAGAUUUUUCCUUGACAAAAUGGUAUGGCGGGGAAUUCCAAGAGUUCUUGACCGCCUCAUGUCUGACUAGGAUGCAUAUGCUGCUUACAACACUCCUAUCAACAACCAGAACUCACUGUGGUCACGACUAAGUCAUGCCAGCAUGGGUGCCCGACUUUGCCCAACAAGUCCAAGAGCUUUAGAAUGCACUGCCCACGACCACUGAUACUGAGGUCAGCUGACUGAUUGACAUGCUCACACAGCAGCACAGGAGUAUUUUCUCAGUUCACUCCCACCACCCCAACUGGAUGCUUUCCUAGAUUUCACUGGUGGGACAAAUUAUAAAACUUUUUAAAAUCAUAAGUUUAUUGUAUUAAACUGAUUAAUAAAGUGGCAGCAAUAAACAUUCUAUUCUGCCCAUGACAAUGAUGCAAGCAAUAAUCACAAUGACUAUGACUAUGUAUGUCUCAUGAACUAUCCUUCUACACAGUUGUCUGCAAAAUUGAUAACCUACAUAGAUGUACCUUUGGUCGAUAUACCCAUAGUUUAUUUGUAUCAGCAAUGGACCUACACAAUCCAUAAUAAUUCCGUUAAAACUCCACACAUAAAAAGUCUCUACAAAGCAAUUUAGUGUCAAGUUUUUAAGACCGUGUAAAACUCGAGUUUCACUGAGACCGGUUCUUACCAUCAAAACCAAGAUCGUCAUCAUCUACACACAUAAAAGAUGAUUUUGACGGCUCUAGACAAGCCCGGUAAAAGAAAACUUCCGAGACGACUUGGCAGCAAACAAAUCAGAUUGUGUUACGCGGACAGCAAGAGUAAAAAAUGAAAUAGAAGGGAACAGAAGACCGUGUACCUAAAAUCGUGCACGAUUCACGACGAAGUCAUCCAAAGGACCUCGCCUCCCCUCCUCCGGCUAUAAAAUGCCUGCCCCUCCCUCAUAUAGCUCCAUCAGUCUUUUCCAAGCUCACAAGAUGGCUCAUCUUCGUUUUGUUCUAUCCUUCCUCCUAGCAAUCAGCUCCAUCUUGUUUGUGCAUGCCGCGGAUGAAGAUAUGCUGCAGGACUUUUGCGUUGCAGACAAUGGCUCCAAGAUCAAAGUGAACGGCGUCGUCUGCAAGGCGGCCGCCGAUGUGAAAGCCGAGGACUUCAAGUCGAGCCUGCUGGCGACUCCCGGGAACACCGACAACAAGCUCGGCUCCAACGUCACGCUGGCGAGUGUCAACAAUUUCCCCGGUCUCAACACCUUUGGUGUAGCUUUUGCCCGCGUCGACUAUGCUCCCGGCGGCACCAAUCCCCCCCACGUCCAUCCCCGAGGAUCCGAGCUGCUCUUCCUCGUGCACGGGAACCUCUUAGUCGGAUUCGUCACCACCUUGCCGGACAACAAGCUCUUCGCCCAAAUGCUCUAUCCUGGAGAUCUGUUCGUCUUCCCUCGGGGACUCGUCCACUUCCAGCUUAACGUUGGAAAGGAGCCUGCGGUUGCGAUGGCUGGCUUCAACAGCCAAAACCCCGGGGCAACUCAGGUGGCCAAGGCGGUGUUUGAUUCCAAUCCUCCAAUCAACGACGACGUGAUCGCGAAAGCAUUCCAGAUUGACGACCGUGGUCUCAUCCAGAAGUUGAGAGAGCUCAUCGGCAUGACUUGAAAGUUUCUCCAAAGGUUGCGAGGCUGACUUGACUAAGUUACAUAUAUAAAUAAAUUAUUUUUCCAAAGCUCUUACCUUUCGGAAACUUUCGUAAGCACAGCUAGAUCGCUUUCCCGCCAAUUUCCAUUUUAAACACGGUCCUGGAGCGAUUUGCCAGGACAUACGUCGAUCCAAUGCCCGAAACAUAUCGUAAUGCGAUCGGCAAGAUGCCACCAAAACCCUACAAACCAGAGCAUCCGGCACAAACGGCAUGGCACCAGCAAUUCCUCGGCAUUCUCCAGUUGCCUGCCACGGCCGAAGAUAUCGAUCAUGCAGACGAAGUGAUCACUGCCUGGCGCGAUCCUAAAAUCCCCUGUCACGAGAAGAAAGAAAUCCUUAUUGCGAUUCACGGAGCUGAUGUAGGCGCAGGCCGGAGUGUCACCUUUCCCAUUGCGCCCUUGCCUCAAUGAGCAAACGCAGUGAUCCCUUUAUGCAGCAUUGUAAUGGGCUAAAGGUGACACUGUAGUGAAGUGAGGUCCAUGAUCUUACAAUGUUCAAGGGAAAGACCAAAACUACACCUUGUCAACUCACCCAAGCCCUCUCUAAGGGGCUUUUGGCAAGAUGACAAAGUAUCUCCUUUAGCCUACUUUGAGAGGAUUUCGGGAUUUACCUGGACGUAUUUGAGUGUACUGCAUAUAAUAAUCAAGUGGCUGGACAUGAGAAGGUUCUGUAUGGCUCUAUCAGGAGAGGCACAGAGAAUGUUUGUUUCAUGCUGUGCACGAGAUCAGAUUGUUUGGUUGGAUGAAGCAGUGGACUCGAUUUCCAGGCUGUUGUGAUGUUCAAUUAAGAUUGCAUUAUCGAGAUUGGAAUCACAAGAACAUGGAAAGAACUGGACGUGUCUCCCAGCGUGGUGCGUGUUUCGUCCGGGAAUUAAUCUUGUGAUGUUUGCUCGAGGCGAUGUAGCCUUGAUUGUCACAGUAGAUUGGUGUUGGGCCGGGUGUCGUUGAGGAGGCGGCGAAGCCAGAUGGCCUCUUUGCAUGCGGAACUAGCCUCCGCCUCACAGCUGGAGCAGGCAACGACGCUCUUCUUCUUGCUGCUAACUGCAUUGUGAAGGCUAAACAAUUUAGCCAAAGCCAGCCCAGUAAGCUUGACUCGUGGCCUUAAGACCGCAAGAAAACGUAUCUCGGAAGUACGAAAAGACGCGUUUUAGUCAAUGUUGAGGUCCAGGAUUGUCAAGGGUUCUUGCACAAAGUGGAAUUCGAAUGGAUUAGCGCACCUUCCAUGGCGUCCAUAUCCCCUCUAUAACUAGAAAAAAAACACACUCCAACAAGCGAACGAAGCAUUUUCCUAGGCUAUGGCAUUGAACACAAGGCUUACAAGGUCUACAAUCCUGUCUCCAAGGCGCUGAUCAUCUCACCAGACGUGCAUCCAAUGAGACUCCAUCACGUCAAGUGGGAGAAAAUCUGCCUUUGCCAGUGCUGCCCAAUGCCCAAUCCGAACGACCUGCGAAUCUUCAAGACUCACUGCAGCCGCUCCUCUUUGCAGAUCUUCUCGCCAGAACAAGGGCAAGCCACCACCACGGCUGAUUGCUCGCAGCUGUACACGACAUCCCUGAAAGUCUUGUGGAGACUUUGAACUUCUGGGAAUUCCAAGCGGCUCUCAAGUCUCUUGAAGUUGACAGGGAAAAAUGGAAAGUUGCCUUUAUCAUUCCCCUCACCUUGGUGAGACAAGCGCCUCCUGGACGCAUGCUGGGUGUGUGACUGUAAUGGGAGGGAGCGGAGGUGCGGAAGAAUGGGAAAAGAAGUGGAGGUGGAGGAUUUGGAGAAUUCACCGCCAGAUGGAAAGAGCCUGACGUGUCUUCUUGCGUGACGUGUCAGCCACGUGGCUGUCCGCCUCUUCAAUCAUGAUGGUGGUUGUCCUCGGAAGGGCCGGAGGGUGGCGUGGGCUGACCCUGGAUGAGCAUUCUCCGGGAGGUCCUUUCGAGAAGAGUGUGGAUCUUGUUAACAACAGGAAGGCGCAAUUCGGAAUUGAAAAGCUCGGCCUGCUGGCUCAUCACCGAAAACGAGCCCGGCCUGGAACAUUUGAUGUUGCCGCUGAUCAUGAUCACCAAUGCGAUGGCAACAAGCAUCCUUCCACGAUCCAUUCCAGCCACAAAAGCACUAAACGUAGUGAUGAUAUCGUUGUAUAAGAACCAAGAGCUGUGCUUGCUCCGAUACGAUUGGAUCCAAUGGGCCUCCAGUGUUUUAUAUUCACAGAAAAAGUUCUUCACCGGGCUUGGUAAACAGUCAAGUCCUUUGCGCGUGCCAAUGUCAAAACAAGACUCGUUAGCUUCCAAGCCAGAACACUCUACGAGCAGUUUUUCAAAGUCCUGCACAAAAGACAGCUGCUGCCCUAGCAAAUGGGCUGUCCAAACGCUCGGCCUGCGCCCCAGCUAUAUGCCUGUAAAGUGAGGAGAAUAUUAGCAAUCUUGAGAUUCUUCAACAGCGAGAGUUCACCUUCAAGUUGACUUUGUCGGACCCAAGAGAUUUUUUAAGAACUUUGAUUAUGUCGUCGUUGAAGAGAUUGUCAAAAAGGCCAUCAGUUCCCAAAACAAUGAUGUCCCCCUUGCAGACAGGGAUCUUGAAUUCCUGUAGACAGAAAAUUAGCGAAUUUAAGGGAAAAGCAAGAAUACCUCUGCAACCGUUGGAUGGUCACCAAAAGUUCCAACUUGAAACAGAAAGUUAAAACUAUGCUGCAUGGGCUCCGAGCUUGCAACUACUUGCCAAUUGCGAACUAUGAUGAACCCCGAGUCUCCCAAGCUUGCUGCAUACAGUGUCUGAAACAUAUGACCCGACUCAGCCUCAAACAUCAAAUCCGACUAGCUUAGUUGCUCAAACAAUGCAGCCACAAGAACCGUUGCUGAUCCUUUGGCCUUUGUACUGUGGAGACAAUUGAUGACAAGUCUCCACAUCAGCAAAAAAGACAUGUCAUUCAUCCAAGACACCAACCACCAAGAGUCACACCCAUACUGUUAUGUACAUAACCAUACCAAAGCAAUGAAGUCGAUAGAGCAUUCUGCGUACACUGGCAAACACAGCAACACAACGAGCAGGACCACGCUAGGGCUCUUGUAGUCCUUGCUAGGGUGGAACGACAGAUUCAAGAACGCAAGUGAGCACAACAUGAUGUCCAUCCGUGCUUCUACCCUAAUUGUCGCUCUAUGUGCAUGGCGUAUGGGCGUCCCUUCCAGUGAUUCCCACUGCCUCUUCCCCGCCCCUGCCCCCGCCCCCGCCCCCCCCCCCCCCCCCCUCGCUUCUAGCUUACUCUAUUGUUUUGUCCUUUCUUCUAGAAACUAAUGGCUACCAGUACUCCACCUCGCACUACAUCUAGAACCACCCUAGCGAGCACCAUGGCCAUCCUGGCUGGCAACUAAGAUGUAGGAUGGGAGAAGCUACUCUAGAAGUUCACAGGCGAGAACUUCACAACUUGGAAGACCAAAGUCCAAUUAAUCCUAAUGGCAAAAAAUUGUUGAGAUUUGGUGGAGGGAACCGAAGUGAGACCUCAAGAUAUAGAAGCAGCCUUGCAAGCUACUUAAGACUCUAAGAACGGCAAAGCCCUUUCCGUGAUUGGACUAGGUCUUGGAGAUGAAUUUAUUCAUCUCCUUGAUCUAGAAAAAUCCGCCAAGGCCAAUUGGGACUCCCUUUCCCAAGUCUUUGUAGCCAAAGCUGCUAAUGCUAAAUUGGUUCUGACCCAGAAAUUUUUCUCCCUAUGCAUGCAGCCUGGUGAGAUGAUGGCAACAUACAUUGGGAAGCUCAAGGGUUUAAUGCAGCAGCUGAAGGAAGUAGGUGCUGCAGUUUCCGAUGACUAUGCAAAAGCCUUCUUGCUCUACUCUGUAUCUUAAGAGUUGCAACAAUUGUCCUCCAUGCUUUCUUUUGUCCCAGGCAAAACCAUGGAGGAGCUCUACUCUGAUCUACUCAAGGAAGAGCACAAGAUUGCUGAGCGUCAAGCUGGCCAUCAAGGAUCCCCUCAAGCUGCUCGCGAGCAGGCCUUGUUUCUUGGUAAGAAACAAUCGAGUGGGGAGUAGAGGAAAGGAGGCACUAGCCGUGGGCCUCGUAUCUCUUCUGCUACAACUCCCAGCUCUUGAUUUAACUUCUCCAAGAAGAAAAAAGGUCCUUGCAACUAUUGUGGAAAGAUGGGGCAUGUCGAGUGUGAGUGUUGUGCAAAGAAGGCUGCCACCCAGCACAUGCUUACCCAGAGCAACUUGUUGUUGAUGAUGGCUCUUUACCCGUCACCGGUGUCUGCUCUUGAGGUUCUAUGGCUGGAUAGUGGUGCCUCUUUUCACAUGACUCCCUUAAGGUCUGCCUUUCACACUUACAAGGCUCUUCAAGCUCCACAACAGGUUUAUGUCGGCGACAAGCGACCACUCUAGGUGGAAGGUCGUGGCAUGGUGGUGAUCAGGCUAUCCACUGGACCUUUUAAGGAGGUUCAUCACGUGCACUUUGUACCUGAAGCAGCACAUACAGUUCUUUCUAUAGGUGUAGCCUCAGAUCAAGGCUUUACUACCACCUUCUUCCCAAAAGGGUGCACCAUCUAUGGUCGUGAUGGUACUUCUGUAGCUAGUGGCAUGAGGUAUGAAACACUCUACUGUUUAAAUGCAGAAUUGGUUUUUCCAACUCAAGUGCUUGCUUUCUGAGCACAAGACACCAUUGAGCUCUGGCAUGCUCGUCUGGGGCAUGUCAAUGAACGAGAUCUACAUGCCUUGGCUCGUAACCAGCAUGCUAAAGGCAUCAUGCUCCCAACUGGCCAUCUAGGCGUGUGUGAAACUUGCUAUCUUGGGAAGCAAGUUCACCUUCCUUUUCCAUCAAGAACCAUGGAGGACCAAGCUACAGGCUUAUUGGAUCUGGUUCACAAUGACGUGUGCUACUUGCCAUGGAAACACUCAGCCACAAGAGGUACUUUGUGUCUUUUAUCAAUGACCAUUCCAGAUAUGCUGUGGUGAGCCUUCUCCAUGCCAAGAGCGAAGUGUUCAACCACUUUAAGCUUUUUAAGAGCUGGGCAGAGACGUCUACUGGCCAAAAGAUUCGUGUGUUACGCACAGAUGGUGGUGGAGAGUACCUGAACAAAGAGUUUCUCAACUUUCUAGCUGAGGCUAGCAUUGUUCACCAGUACACAACAGCCCAUACUCCCCAACAGAACGGCAUGGCAGAGCACCUCAAUCGCAUGCUACUAGAGACUGUUUGUUGCCUUCUCCAACACACAAGCAUACCCAACUCUUUUUGGGGUGAAGCCAUUAACACGGUUGUUUAUAUCCGUAAUCGCCUUCCCACAAGGAGCACUGGUGUGGUUCCUUAUCAAGCUUGGACUGGGAAGUGUCCUCAGUUAGGGCACUUGAGGGUCUUUCGCUGCACAAUGUAUGCUUGCAUUCCAGAUGCGACUCGGCAGAAGCUGGAUCCUAGGAGCCAGAAGACCAUCUUCGUGGGCUAUCAUGCUCAUUCCAAGGCCUAUCACCUACCUCUAUAAUCUUGCUCUCAAGAAGCUCGUGGUCAGCCAAGAUGUCUCUUUCAAUGAGCAAGAUCUUUAUCGCCACAUUCAAGGUACUAUUCCUUCAAGUUCUAACUUGGUGGACUUGACCCCAGUGCUGGAAGACGAGCUCACCCACCCACCAACACCAGCAAUCCAAAGGCUACUCGUUCCAGAAGGAGGAACACCUCUUCCACUUGGUGAUGAACCUUCUCCAGCAACUCUGCUGCUACCAGUUCCUCUAGUCACUUCGGUGGCUACUAGCAGCAACACUACUUCAUCCAAUGAGCAGAAUCUUGCUGCUACUGUGGACGAGUUGUUCAUUGGUGAAGAAACAGUUGGAGGAUCUUCCCGCUCACCUCCUCCAGAUUCUCUCAUGACACCACCACCUCGUCAAGAGAUUGGAGCUAUUACCUGUUUAGGACAAGUGAGCAAGCCAACGGUCAAAGCUCUAGAAUCUCUUGCUCAAGCUCCAUGCAAGAAGGGAUUCUACUGGGCCAUGAGCUCCAUUGUUGAACCUCGUGGCUACCAAGUUGCUCUCUCCAAUCCUGAUGCCUCACAGUGGCAAGCAGCCAUGCAGGACGAGUAUGACUCAUUGAUCAAGAAUGGAAUCUGGACAUUGGUUCCCCUCCCUCCCGGCAGGAAGGCAGUCACAGCCAAAUGGCUGUUCAAGAAGAAAUAUCGAGCUGAUGGCAGCAUUGAGCGCUACAAGGCACACUUUGUAGCUCGUGGUUUCUCUCAGAUCCAAGGAGUUGAUUACUCUCAAACUUAUAGCCUUGUUAUAAAGCUGACAACAAUUUGUGUUUUGAUGAGUCUUGCAGUUGAGCUCGACCUGGAGCUCCAUCAACUUGAUGUGAGAACUGCAUUCCUGAAUGGUGAUCUUGAGGAGGAGGUGUAUGUUGCCCAGCCUCCUGGAUUUAUACGUCCCGGACAAGAGCAUCUAGUCUGCCGCUUGCACAAGACUAAGAGGUUCCCGUGCACGAGGAAGAGCAGCUCGGAUCCUCGGGGGUGGACGUGGGGGGGAUUGGUGCCGCCAUGAGCGUAGUCAAUGCGGGCAAAAGCUACACCAAAGGUGUUGAGACCGGGGAAAUUGUUGACACUCGCCAGCGUGACGUUGGAGCUGAGCUUGUUGUCGGUGUUCCCGGGAGUCGCCAGCAGGCUCAACUUGAAGUCCUCGGCUUUCACAUCGGCGGCCGCCUUGCAGACGACGCCGUUCACUUUGAUCUUGGAGCCAUUGUCUGCAACGCAAAAGUCCUGCAGCAUAUCUUCAUCCGCGGCAUGCACAAACAAGAUGGAGCUGAUUGCUAGGAGGAAGGAUAGAACAAAACGAAGAUGAGCCAUCUUGCGAGCUUGGAAAAGACUGAUGGAUUAUAGCCGGAGGAGGGAAGGCGAGGUCCUUUGGAUGACUUCGUCCUGAAUCGUGCACGAUUUUAGGUACACGGGCUUCUGUUCCCUUCUAUUUCAUUUCUUACUCUUGCUGUCUGCGUAACACAAUCUGAUAUUUUUGCUGCCAAGUCGUCUCGGAAGUUCUCUUUUACCAGGCUUGUCUAGAGCCGUCAAAAUCAUCUUUUCUGUGUGUAGAUGACGACCUUGGUUUUGAUGGUAGGAACUGGUCUCAGUGAAACUCGAGUUUUACACGGUCUUGCUAAAAGCUUGGCACCUUCUUGGCACCAGAGACUUUUUAUGUGUGGAGUUUUAACGUGCUGAUACAAAUAAACCAUGGGUAUAUCGACCAAAGGUACGUCUCUGUAGGUUAUCAAUUUUGCAGACAACUGUGUAGAAGGAUAGUUGCUCACAUAGUCAUGAGACAUACAUAGUCAUAGUCAUUGUGAUUAUUGCUUGCAUCAUUGUCAUGGGCAAAACCGAAUGUUUAUUGCUGUCACUUUAUUAAUCAGUUUAAUGGAAUAAACUUAUGAUAUUAAAAAGUUUUAUAAUUUGUCCCACCAUGGCAAUCUAGGAAAGCAUCCAGUUGGGGUGGUGGGAGUGAACUGGGAAAUACUCCUGUGCUGCUGUGUGAGCAUGUCAAUCAAUCAUUUAACCUCAGUAUCAGUGGUCGUUGUGGGCAGUGCAUUCUAAAGCUCUUUGGACUUGUUACGCAAAGUCCGGCACCCAUGCUGGCAUGACUCAGUCGUGACCACAAUGAGUUCUGGUUUUGAUAGGAGUGUUGUAAGCAGCAUAUGCAUCCUAGUCAGACAUAAGGUGGUCAAGAACUUUUGGAAUUCCCCACCAUUACAGAAAAACAAGGGGAAAAUAUUAAUAAUUACUUUAUUUAACUUUCACUCACCAUUUUGUCAAAGAAAAACCUAAACAAUGGUCAGUGUAUAGUUUUAUCUUAAGAGUAACAUUCCAUGAACUAGAGAGUAGAAUUUAGUUGCUCAACCAAAGUCCCACCCAUAUCCAUAACCCACGCCUUGUCCACCAGUGAAAUCAACUCUCUGCGAGGAAAGAAAAUAAGAUCCAAGCACUAAUCACGCAAGUUUACCGCAGAUCAUGGCUCACAACGAGCAACGUCCUCUCCUUCCUUAAGUACGCGAGGUAAGAAUGUAGCUUGGAAGUUUUGGUGAGGUGUUGCUGGUCUCUCUAUCUCUUGAAGCGCCCGAAGAGACAACGCAUGUUACUUUCGAUGAAUCGGCAGUUUCCCUCCCACAACCGGCCAAGGCACACAACUCGGCUUGCAAAAAUGGCGAAGAGGUUUGCAAUUUUUUUUCCUUCUCUAUAUACUGAAGUCUCAAGCUUGCAGGGGUGCCAGAAUGCUGAAACGGAUUCUACCAGCUGGUGAGCUUGUUUAUUUUCGCGUGGCUAUUGGUGAAAUUCAUGAUGUUCUUGCUUUUUAAGGUUUCUUCGACUCGACUAUGCUGCCGCGAUGCGUCCCCAUCCUGAGAAGGUGCAAAGCUUACUUGCUAAUUUUUGUAGAACUUCUAAGCUUUGCUGUUUACAGGCUCAAAGAGGGGGUGAAGAUGCUUUCUUCACUGAAGGCUCCUGGAUGGGUGUUGCUGAUGGUGUUGGGGGCUGGGCCGGAGAAGGUAAGAAAAAUCUUUCUUUGAGUCUGUUUUUCCAAGAGUUUUUACUGGUUUUCAGACAUUGAUUAGGGGAUGUAUUCUCGGGAGCUUAUGAGACAUUGUCAGGCAUUGGUUGUAAACAGCAAAGGGAAACCGGACCCCAAGGACGUGCUUGUCAAAGCCGCCGGCAGUACAAAGGCCCAGGGAUCAGCAACGGCAGGGAUCAGCAACGGUCCUUGUGGCUGCAUUGUUUGAGCAAGUAAGCUAGUCGGAUUUGAUGGUUGAGGCUGAGUCUGGUCAUAUAUUUCAGACACUGUACGCAGCAAACUUGGGAGACUCGGGGUUCAUCAUAGUUCGCAAUUGGCAAGUAGUUGCAAGCUCGGAGCCCAUGCAGCAUAGUUUUAACUUUACGUUUCAAGUUGGAACGUUUGGUGACCAUCCGACGGUUGCAGAGGUACUCUUGCUUUUCCCUUAAGUUCUCUAAUUUUCCGUCUACAGGAAUUCAAGAUCCCUGUCUGCAAGGGGGAAACCAUUGUUUUGGGAACUGAUGGCCUUUUUGACAAUCUCUUCAACAACGACAUAAUCGAAGUUCUUAAAAAAUCUCUUGGGUCCGACCAAGUCAACUUGAAGGUGAACUCUCGCUGUUGAAGAAUCUCAAGAUUGCUGAGAUUCUCUUCACUUUACAGGCAGCUGCAGCAGACCUUGUAGCUGGGGCGCAGGCCAAGCGUUUGGACAGCCCGUUUGCCAGGGCGGCUGCAAAGGCGAGAAUGAAUUGGAGUGGUGGAAAGCUAGAUGAUACCACGGCAGUUGUGGCGUUUGUGACGUGAUAUUUGAGUCGCGAAGGGUAAACAUUUCAAGCAGUUUUUGCAGGGGCCAGUGUAAAUUGCUCAGGCCGUUAAUAUUUGCGGUAUUUCCGGUUCUUUCGCUAAUUGUAUGACAUCCUUUUGAUUUGAUUCAAACCGCUCAUUCUGUUUAGAGGGAACUGCUCAAGGUCACUUGAGGUGUUAGACAUGUAGUUUAGCUGGACGAUCACGAGCAAGCUCAAGAUACUCAAGCUCUCCGGCAACAUGAUCUCUGGCUCGUCCUUCUCGGGGGUACAUCGAGCUGCUAGGCCUUUGGCACGAUGGGAUCUUUCGCGACUGCGUGGCUCUCCAGGAGCUCUUCAACAGUCUCACACCCUCGUCCAGCAGCAAACUCCAGAAUGUCAUGCUCGGAAGUGCUCGAACAACGUUUCAGAGGAGCUCGUGUGGGCUGUAUCUUGUCUCUCAGCUUGGGCAGACUCUUUGAGUUUGCUCGGAUCUCUCGGAGAACCGGUUGGAGGUUCUGAAGGACUAAGUGGUGGAAACCCUGCUCCGGUCGGAUAGCAACAAAGAGCUCACGGAGAACAGCUUGAAGGACAGCUCCAGGCGAGCUCGUGUGGAGGAUCCUUGGAUACCGCUCUUGUCCCAGUACCGUGCGACUCCACCAGAAAGAUGGUGAGGAAGGUGGCGACAAGCCAAUUGGCUGGAGCCGUGACUUCCUUCUUUGUCUCGAGUAUUUGGUCGCGUGUCCCGUCCACAUGGUGAGCCACGGAAUUGUUUCUUAGUGGUGGUGGUUGUUUCCCCGAGGUGCUGGUGGCCUAUCUCGAUUACAACUACAGGGACCAGGACAAGGCCUUCUUCUGCCAAGAUCAACAGCAAGCUCUCAACUCCAGCGCGCGGUGGAUCGUCCUCUCCUCCGGCCAGUACAUCACUCCGGCGCUCUACAACGUCCCGGCUUUCAGGAGCAAGCUCGAGGAAUGGUUCCCAUAGCAGGAGGCCAUCUUCCAUCUCCUGGUGAGGUACCUGUUGCUUCCCAGUGACUUCGUGUGGGACAAGGCGGCCAGGUACUACGACGCGUACCUGGCCCAGGCCGAGCUUCUAGUCGGGGUCCAGCUGCAAAACCACAUCUGGUUCUCGCCACCCAACCUCGCCGAGGAUACAUUCGACUGCCUGGUGCAACAAGGCGCGCUCGCAAACACCACCCAGGAGCGAGCUCCCAGAUCGUCGGUGAGGAAGAACAGCAAGAAGGUGGCGGUGCUGGUGGUGUCGCUCAACUCUCAGUACUCGGAGACGCUCAAGAGCAAGGUGCUGGGAUACGAUCUAGCGGACGGCUCCUCGGUGUCCAUCCACCAGCCGAGCGUGGAGGGCGUGGAAAACACGAAGAACUUGGAUCACGACGCACAGGCGGUGAUGAAGAUCUAGUUGCUGUCGAUGAGCGAUGUCCUGGUGACGAGCCCGCCAUCCACGUUUGGCUACUCGGCGGCGGGGCUGGCGGGCGUGAGGCCCGUGCAGUUCGUGUGCGACCAGAACAAGAGCGUGGUUUGCUCGGUGAGGGAGACGAUGGAGCCGUGCUACCACGUUUAUCCGGCUCAGUUCGCAUUGAAAAGUGCGAAUGCAGCGUGGGUUUCAGACUAGUCUAUAGAAAGUUCUUAAAGCUUUUAAAAUUUUAUUUUCUUUCUCGUGAUAGAUUUCUAAGUUGCUCCUUGGCUGCAUGAUGCAAAUCUAGCGUCAUUUGUAGAUUUGCGUGGUCAGGUCAUGCUCUUGGCCCACGCAAAGUUGCGCCAAGGCUGCCUUGAAAUCCAGGUAAUUUGGUACCAAGAGCUUAUAGACUUCAAAUGGCGAGCUGUCUUUUGGGCAGGACUUUGAAAAACUGCUCGUAGAGUGUUCUGGCUUGGAAGCUAACGAGUCUUGUUUUGACAGAUGGCACGUGCAAAGGACUUGACUGUUUACCAAGCCCGGUGGAGAACUUUCUGUGUGAAUGAAUAUAAAGCACUGGAGGCCCAUUGGAUCCAAUCGUAGCAGAGCAAGCACAGCUCUUGGUUCUUAUACAACGAUAUCAUCACUACGUUUAGUGCUUUUGUGGCUGGAAUGGAUCGUGGAAGGAUACUUCUUGCCAUCACAUUGGUGAUCAUGAUCAGCGGCAACAUCGAUUGUUCCAGGCCAGGCUCGUUUUCGGUGAUGAGCCAACAGGCCGAGCUUUUCAAUUUCGAAUUGCGCCUUCCUGUUGUUAACAAGAUCCACACUCUUCUCGAAAGGACCUCCCGGAGAAUGCUCACCCAGGAUCAGCCCACGCCAGCUCCCGGCCCUUCCGGGUGCUGCCACGAUAAGUGAAGAGGCGGACAGCCACGUGGCUGACACGUCACUCUAGGAGACACGUCAGGCUCUUUCCAUCUGGCGGCGAAUUCUCCUCCAAAUCCUCCACUCCUUUCCCCAUUCUUCCCCACCUCCGCUCCCUCCCAUUACAGUCACACAUCAAUUUACCCAGCUUGCGUCCAUGAGGCGCUUGUCUCACCAAGGUGAAGGGGAAUGAUAAAGGCAACUUUCCAUUUUUCCUUGACUUGGGAGCUGCGUGGAAUUCCUAGAAGUUCCACUCCAGCAAGUAAAGUCUCCACAAGACUUUCAGGGAUGUCUUGCACAGCUGCGAGCAAUCAGCCGUGGUGGUGGCUUGCCCUUGUUCUGGCGAGAAGAUCUGCAAAGAGGAGCGGCUGCAGUGAGUCUUGAAGAUUCGCAGGUCGUUCGGAUUGGGCAUUGGGCAGCACUGGCAAAGGCAGAUUUUCUCCCACUUGACGUGAUGGAGUCUCAUUGAAAUGCACGUCUGGUGAGAUGGUCAGCGCCUUUGAGACAGGAUUGUCGAUCUUGUAAGCCUUGUGUUCAAUGCUAUAGCCUAGAAAAAUGCCUCGUUCGCUUGUUCGAGUGAGUUUUUUUCUAGUUUUAGAGGGGAUAUGGACGCUAUGGAAGGUGCACUAAUCCGUUCGAAUUCCACUUUGUGCAAGAACCUUUGACAAUCCUGGACCUCAACAUUGGCAAACACUUAAACGUAGAUUUGUUUUCUUACAGUCUUAAGGCCACGAGUCAAGCUUACGGGGCUGGCUUUGGCUAAAUUGUUUAGCCUUCACAAUGCAGUUGGCAGCGAGAAGCAGAGCGUCGUUGCCUGCUCCAGCUGUGAGGCGGAGGCUAGUUCCGCAUGCAAAGAGGCCAUCUGGCUUCGCCGCCUCCUCAACGACCACCCGGCCCAACACCAAUCUACAGUGACAAUCAAGGCUACAUCGCCUUGAGCAAACAUCACAAGAUUAAUUCCCGGACGAAACACACACCACGCUGGGAGACACGUCCAGUUCUUUCCAUGUUCUUGUGAUUCCAAUCUUAAUAAUGCAAUCUUAAUUGAACAUCACCACAGCCUGGAAAUCGAGUGCACUGCUCAUCCC